rnacentral:rRNA from 1 species
CUACGGGAUGCAGCAGUCGAGAAUCUUCCGCAAUGCGCGAAAGCGUGACGGAGCAAUGCCGCGUGGUGGAUGAAGGCCUUAGGGUUGUAAACACCUGUCACAUGGGACGAAUUUUGACGGUACCAUGAGAGGAAGCCACGGCUAACUACGUGCCAGCAGCCGCGGUAAUACGUAGGUGGCGAGCGUUGUUCGGAUUUAUUGGGCGUAAAGGGUCCGCAGGGGGUUUGCUAAGUCUGAUGUGAAAUCCCAGGGCUCAACCCUGGAACUGCAUUGGAAACUGGUGAACAAGAGUAUCGGAGAGGUAAAUGGAAUUCCUGGUGUAGCGGUGGAAUGCGUAGAUAUCAGGAAGAACACCGAGAGCGAAGGCAAUUUACUGGACGAUCACUGACCCUCAGGGACGAAAGCGUAGGUAGCGAACAGGAUUAGAUACCCCCGUAGUC